rnacentral:lncRNA from 1 species
GUAAUUCAAAUAUUAUACGUUUUCAACAUUUAUAUCACUAAUAUAAACACUAUUUAUUUACGUACAAUAGUUUAAUAAUCAGUACUAUACAUGUUAGGAAAGAGACUCAAGGUUCAAAUGUUCUAUCCAACUACUAUUGUUUUGUUAAUAUAUAAUUAAAAAAAAGUCUUUGAUCAACAAAUACAAUUUCUUUUUUUUUGUACUAGCAAUAAUAUUUCUCAUCUUUUUGGGUAAGAAUUAAUCUCUUUCGGGGUUCAUGAUUGUCGCUCCCAACAAGUGUCAUUUCCAGGAAUCGAAUCCUCGAUCCUAGGAGAUUCAGUGAGAUCUUACACCACUAAAUCAAUGCCUUAUUAAUAAAUAUGAUGAUUUCUUUAAGAAAACAAAAAAAAAAAUUAAGGAAAAAAUCAUGGUUCUCAAAUUACGAAAAAUAAAUAAAUAAAUAAGAAACAACAAAAUCAAGCAAAACUAUGUUUACCAACCAUAAUUUUAUAAAAAACAUAAAAAUAACUAAAUCGUACUCAAAACAACGAUUUCAUAAUAUAAAAAAUUCAAACACGGAAAGUUGUGGGGCAUAAUUAUGAUUUUGGUAAUGGAGAAAAAUACAAAAAUGGUUAAUCAUUAUUGUUAAGCACUGUAUAAUAUACAUUUAUGUACUAUCUAUAUCUAUAUUAUAUAAAGGUAAACUUAUCUAUACUAAUAGAUAAAGGAAAAAUAUGAUGUAAGUAUCAUUAAAGUGAAAUUUCAUUUUCCUAUGUUGCUCUUAAACCUUUUAAUUUCUACGGAAAAGUUAUAUAAUCAUAUGUAAUCACUAUUAACAUAUUGAUCAUAUCUCUCACUUUAAGUUGAACAUUAUAAUAAAACAUAAAGUUAUAAUAUAAAGUAUCCCCAAUAAAAAAUACAUUAUAAAAUAUACUAAAUAUAAAAAGAUAUUAUAAUUUUCCAAAAUAAAAUAUAUAAAACUUGAAUAUUUGAUAUCAUUAAUAUAUGAAUAUGGGCUGGCAUACCACUAAUUACUAUAAAAUAACAAAUAAAAAAAUAAGGAAUAAGAAUCGUGAAUGGUAGAUAUAACUUGCUUACAUAAAACUAAAGUCCUGAAUAUCAGAAUAGUGGCUACCCUUCACAGGCUAUUAGAAGUGCAUUACUUUGAUAGUGUCUCAAAAAAUUACCCCAGAGAGAUAAUGAUAGUGUGAAAAUAUUUGAAUGACAAAUUGUUUUGGCAAGAACAAUACAUGAGUAUUAUAUUAUAUUUAUACUCCAAAGUAAAUUAUAAUGACAUGAGUUUUAGUGAAAUUAUACAAAUCAUCUUUUUUUAAAACUUGUAUAAAUCAUCCCUAAUUAUAUAUAUAUAUAUAUAUAUAUAUAUAAGAUAUAAGUAAUUUCUUAAACAAAAAACAGUGAUGAAUGUAAUUAAGUUAAACAAAAUAUUAUAUAUUGUGAUAAUGUCAGAUGAUAUAAAAUUCAUUAGUUAUUAUUUUGAUUAGUUAAAAUAUAAUAUAAGAGUGAUUUAAACUAGUGUUGAAAAACUAGUUAGUACCAUCCGAUUUAACUCGUAUAUUUAUUAUAUAAAUAUGGUACAUCAACUCUUAGACUACUAAUAAAUUUAUUAUAUAAAAUAACUUUAAUAGAUUCCAGCAGCAAAACAAUCACAAUAGCUACAAGGAAAUGAACUAGAAAUAUAUACAAACUGCAUAUCAUAUAGAUGAGAUACCAAAACAAAUAUGAAAAUUACUUACAGUUUCAAACAUUCAGUGUUCUUACAGUUGCACCGCUUACAUCCAUUCUCAUAAUUGGUGGUUGAUGUUUUCUUCCUAAAAAGCAUUUUAAAUACGAGUAGAAAGUAUUAAAUACGAGUAAACAUUAAAUUAAUAAUUAAUGCACUUUAAAGUUCAAAAUAGGAAGUAACAUAUUCUUCAAAAUAUGGAGAUAAAUAGGAAAUGAAAUGAUAAUAUAAAUCAUACCAUGGUUUCCGAAGCAUAUUGAAGAAAAAAAUCUCCCCAAACACUAGAAGGGAAAUUGGCUCGUGGUCGUGUGAUUGGUGACACCAAAGAUGGAAGAGACAUCAUUUUCUUCUAGAAAUCCUAAAAAGAAAGGGUAG